AACGCACGCUUAUUUCGCGCCGCAAGUUUUGCAAUGACGAUGUGGCUAAAGUGUAGUGCAAUAUGAGCUCGCUCACGGCGUUGCGGACCAUAGUCUGAACACGGUUCGCGUUUAUGUGAGUGAAACAAUU
ensembl:snoRNA W01C9.6 ncRNA